ACGUACGGACAUAGUCCAUCCCAUGUUGUCAUCUGUGACAAGAGUCCUCUAGCUGCUGAACUGUUCAUGUCGUCAUCUGUGACAAGACGUACGUCCCCGGCCCCAUGGCAUGGAUGCAACAUUGAAUUGAAAUAGAGCGCAGUCUGGGAGACAAUCUCAAGUACUUUUCAUUAUGUGCGUCCUUCUAGACUAGACUGGAGACUACACCUUCCUUCAGAGAGGAACUGAGCCAGUUGGGGAUGCCCUAGAUUGAGAAGAUUUUAAAGGAAGUAUUCUGAAUCGUACCAUAGAUUAUUGAAGAGAGGGAUUGGAAACGCAUGCGUUGAAGUCAUUGGAAUUCCGGCCCAUCCGUGUUGCGCCGACGCCCACGCAGUACUGCUUUUCAGCAAGCUGGUUUUUGCCUUCAAUAGUCUACAGAAGGCAGCACAAAGGCUUGGCCUCGGGGCAAUGCACACUGAUAGUCCAGCUGUUUAUUCUAAAUAGUGCUUGUUAAGUUUAAUCUGUCUAGAGAAAGAGCAAAGUCUAAUAAUUUGGUAUAAAUCUUGACUUACCUUCACUGCCUCAAGUUUGGGAUUAUUUUGACUCUCUUGAAAGCAGUUCAGCCUUGCUACACUUUGAAGACAAGAUCAGUAGUGUGUGUUACAAAUGGGUCGUCGCAAAUUUUAUUUGGGAAGGCGUUUGAAGAAUUCUGAAAGACUAAACAAAGGGAAACUAAACAAAGGGAAACGUCAAUUGGGAAGACCACCACAUAAAAAAUCGAUCGUGUCAUCCACAUCCACUGAUGGUACAUGUACUGAAAACACAUCCACUGAUAGCACAUUCAUUAAUAGCAGCGUUUCUGAUGGUACAUGUACUGAAAACACAUCUGAAAACACAU